rnacentral:tRNA from 1 species
GUAGCUCGCUGGGCUCAUAACCCAGAGGUCGCAGGUUCAAAUCCUGUCCCCGCUA